GGUUGUUGUAGUAUAGUGGUCAGUACUCCGGUUUGUGGUCUCAGAACCAUAUAUGCCGGCAACCCUGGUUCGAUCCCAGGCGCAACCU
rnacentral:tRNA from 1 species